AACCAUCGGUGUUAUCAGCGUUGUUCCCAGGCUGAAAGUCAAAAACACAGCACUGCACCAGCUACUAAGGAUAAAAAAUGACUACUACUACUGAACCCAGGACAGGUGGAAAGCCCUG